UGGCGCUGUUUGGAAAAUUUGAAAACAACAAGAUUGGCAAUUUAUUUGGAUUUCGAAGAUCCUGGUCCUGGCUGAAAUUUAGAGUAUUGCAGCUGUAGCCUGUAUACCAUACAUUCGCUGUAGCCUGUAUACCAUACAUUCAACAUGAAAAGGACUGUCAGGAUGCUGCAUAAAAUAGUCUUAGCUAGCCUAGAGCCUAGAAUGUUAAUUUCUUGGGAAUAUGCUGCAAGGAACUGACGGGGAGCAGUUUUUCUUACCAAUCAUAGAAGCAGUAAGAGACAGCCAAAGAAGUACUCAAACACUUGACAUACCCAGAAAGAUCAAGAAGAAAAGAUUAGAACAGAUUGUAGCUUAAUUGAUAAAACUAUUAAAGUGAAUUUAAGCUGCACUUGAACUGUAUUUUUGAAAUAAAAUAUCUGAAGUAUUUAAUAUUGUCUUCAUAUUUUGUUAAACUUGGUUACUUUGCUUUAUAUCCAAAAAUUAAAGUAUGGUGGGUUUUCAACGUUAAAAUGACAUUAAAACUUCAACGUUGUGCCAACGUUGAAGCUGCAACGUUGUAUCAACGUUGAAAUUAACGUUGUUUCAACUUUCAAAUCCGAAUAUAAAUCCAACCUUAUUUCAACGUUGAAAUCUGACCAAAAUUCAACGUUGAAACAACGUUGAUGUGCCUGCUGGGUGCUAUAGGUUAAUUUUUAUCCCUAAAAUAAGUAUCAAGGUAGGCUGGUAUAGAAUUUCAAAUAUUAAAGGAAUAAGAAUGGAUGGAUUGAUGUCUGUCUAAUAUAAAUAUGCAUCAUUUAAAAAGAGGAACCAUGACAGUUUCCCUAUUGACAUCAACCCUA